rnacentral:rRNA from 1 species
AUUGAACGCUGGCGGCAUGCUUUACACAUGCAAGUCGAACGGUAACAGGCCGCAAGGUGCUGACGAGUGGCGAACGGGUGAGUAAUGCAUCGGAACGUGCCCAGUCGUGGGGGAUAACGCAGCGAAAGCUGUGCUAAUACCGCAUACGAUCUAUGGAUGAAAGCGGGGGACCGUAAGGCCUCGUGCGAUUGGAGAGGCCGAUGUCAGAUUAGGUAGUUGGUGGGGUAAAGGCCUACCAAGCCGACGAUCUGUAGCUGGUCUGAGAGGACGACCAGCCACACUGGGACUGAGACACGGCCCAGACUCCUACGGGAGGCAGCAAUGGGGAAUUUUGGACAAUGGGCGCAAGCCUGAUCCAGCAAUGCCGCGUGCAGGAAGAGGGCCUUCGGGUUGUAAACUGCUUUUGUACGGAACGAAAAGGUCUGGGUUAAUACCCUGGGCCGAUGACGGUACCGUAAGAAUAAGCACCGGCUAACUACGUGCCAGCAGCCGCCGUAAGAC